UUUAUACGUCGAAUUUUGGUCGCGUCGAAUGCAAUUAAGACAAUAGAUAAUGAGAUGAUAAACCUCAUUAAGCUUCAUUAUCUAUUGUUUGAAUUGCAUUCGACGCGACCAAAAUUCGACGUAUAAA